GCUGGUGUAACUCAGUUGGUAGAGCAUGAGUCUCUUAAUCUCAGGAUCAUGGGUUCAAGCCCCAUGUUAGGCA